UAAUGGAGAUUCCCCGUACCCGUACCCUUUGGGGAUUACGUUUCCAUACCCGUACCCGUACCCGUUAACAAUUAUGUAUUAAAUUAAAUUUUUUUUUUUAAAUACGAAAUACAAUUAUAUAAAAGUAUGAAAUUAAAAUCAAAUACCAAAAUAAAUAAGUUUCAUACUUCAAUCCAAUAAAAAUAAAUACAAGUCUUGGUUAAAACAUAACAAUACCGGUAAAUUUCAUUAAGAGAAUAAAAAUAUAUAAUAAAAAGGAAGGUCCAUUAAAUGUUUAUUAAGAGAAUUACAAAUUUUUUUACAUAAAUAUUUAUUUAUAAAUUAUAUAUAAAUAUAUAUAAUAAUAAAUUAUAUAAUUAUAUAUAAUAAUAUUUUCAUCCUUAAUGGGUGAGGAUGGGGACGAAUAUCAAAAUACCAUACCCGCCCCGUACCCGAUUUAAGAAUCCGAAUACUAAGGAUCCCCAUCCCCGUUACCCGUUUAUACCCGUAUAUCUUCCCCGUUAGGGUCGAAUACCCGUGGGUACCCUACCCGCUGGGGAUUAUUGCCAUCCCUAAUCAUGCAUCAUGCAAAUGGUUCAAUAUGGGGUAUUAAAAUAUGAAGAUAAUUAAAUGUACGUUUCAGUCAAUCAGAUAUGGAGGGUCAUUUGAUGACAUACACAAGUCCUCAAAAUGGUAAGAAAUCAUCCUAUCAUUUUGUAUACCUAACAAUAGAAAAAGAAAAGAAGUUAAUCAACCAACAAGUCAAAUCAACAAUAUAGAAAAGUAACAAUACAAACUAAUUAACAGAAUAGCUCAUGAAAUAAACAAAAUCAGUAACACAAUAGAAACCUAAUUGGCUCACCAAAUACCUAUGUGUUAUCCUUUGUUUUCAUCUUAGCUGCCAGCUUCUAUUUUGGACAGGGAGAUGCACAUUAUAGGGUUAAUCAAGCCAUAGUACGUAUUUGCAUAGGUAAUUUCCAUAGUUUUGAUGUCAGAAACUUUAUGAAACUAAAUACAAAAGCCAACACUAGAAUAACAGUACCCAGCAUAUACACCUACUUAUGCUCAU
rnacentral:lncRNA from 1 species